rnacentral:tRNA from 1 species
AGGGAUAUAGUUUAAUGGUAAAACAAUGGUCUCCAAAACCAUUGAUGUGGGUUCGAUUCCUACUAUCCCUG